UAGGGAAUCUUCGGCAAUGGGGGGAACCCUGACCGAGCAACGCCGCGUGAGUGAAGAAGGUUUUCGGAUCGUAAAGCUCUGUUGUUAAGGAAGAACGAGUGUGAGAAUGGAAAGUUCAUGCUGUGACGGUACUUAACCAGAAAGGGACGGCUAACUACGUGCCAGCAGCCGCGGUAAUACGUAGGUCCCGAGCGUUGUCCGGAUUUAUUGGGCGUAAAGCGAGCGCAGGCGGUUAGAAAAGUCUGAAGUGAAAGGCAGUGGCUCAACCAUUGUAGGCUUUGGAAACUGUUUAACUUGAGUGCAGAAGGGGAGGGUGGAAUUCCAUGUGUAGCGGUGAAAUGCGUAGAUAUAUGGAGGAACACCGGUGGCGAGAGCGGCUCUCUGGUCUGUAACUGACGAUGAGGCUCGAAAGCGUGGGGAGCGAACAGG
rnacentral:rRNA from 1 species